CUUCUCAGGUGAGGCACACGUGUUGAUGGAAGCAGUGAAGAAAAAAGAGAGCAGAGAGAUGUCAUUCACAAGGUGGCGAUGAGAAGGGUCAUUGCUGCUUGGUGUGUAGGAAUGAGUUUACCAGGAACAAUGGAUCUACUUAAUCUGUUUCAAUUCCAGAGAUGUUCAGCUUGAUGAGGGCACACAAGACUUUAUAUUUAAAAAGAGUAUUUGAAGGAAAGAUGCCAAAAGUAGAAACCAAGCAACUUUGGGUCACAAGGGCCGCUUCUUCCUGGUCACAGCCCAAGGGAGGCAUGCCAUGGGCUCCCUGGCCUGCUUCCAUUGCCUGCUGGCUAAGCGAUGCAGAGUACUACAGCAGCUGCCUCAGACCCAGAGGCUAAGCCACGUGUUCAGGAUGGCAGAGCCAUUGGACCAGCUGUGGACUCUAUGCCUCUGAAGAUAUACUCAAUAAAUAAACUGGAUUACGUUUAA